GGUCCAAACAUUGCCUGUUACCGUUAAGUCACCUGUUCUCCCAAACGGUCAUUUCCUGCAGAUCCCUGCGAAUGCUAAAGUUAGGACUCUGCCAGCCACUGCGCUCCCACAGUCCAUCAAAUGCCGGAUAAUGAACUCUGUGAGUAACACCCUUAACCUUGAAAAGGGUCCGCCAACUGUUGUGCUGGUUUCCCCUGUGAACUCUGUAAAGCUAAAUUCUGACCAGCAAGUGGUUUCGGUUACAAAGCCAAGUCAAAUACAGAAGACCCUGUUUCAAAAUCUCCCUGCAAACUUGCAAACGCCUGUUUGUGUUCCUAAAACAAAUGAAGAAGUGAACACUCCCAUUAAAUGGGUCGUCCAGGAGGGGACAGGUGUAUCCGCCCCUUGCCUUGUCCCUGUAAUGACACCGAAUGUCAGCUCUGACACCAUUAAAGCAGGCAAGCAUGUCAACUCAGUCGGGACGGUAAAUGAAAUCGCGGCAAGCAAACCUACACCUCCUCAGACCAGCCAAGAGAAGAUCACCCCAGGCAAAGACAAUGCCCUGGUCAUGUGCAACGGGAAGGUCUACUUUGUGGCAAAGAAAAAUUCGGAGAUUGCCAAGGAUGUGAUGAUCAGUGAAGGUGGUAAGAGGGGGGUUGUCAGCACCUCUCCUGCCCUGCCUGCCAGCUCCGCUCUUGGGUCAAACUCUCCUAAGCAAGACCCAAAACUAAAUGUUAGUGAAAUCAUUGAUCUCUGUGAUGAUGAGGAGGAGAUGUCCACGUGUCUGGGAGGUGCCCCGGGAAAUUUGCCCACACCGAGUCAAACAGAGGUGGAUGAGAGCGAUGAAGACUCUAAUGUAAUAUUUGUGUCAUAUAUUCCACCCAAGUCAGAGACUCGUGCUGGUGAUAAAGUGGAGAAAGCCGCCUCUCGGAACAAAUGUGAGGAAGUUCAACACACAAAGUCUGUCUCUCAGAACGAAGGGGAAAAACUGGCACACGCAGAAAUGGAAAAAGAUGGUGGUCCGAAUAAUCCUUCGCCCAAAACGGGUGAGGAGAUGAUGGAUGAGCAGGUUGAGGGAAAUGAAAGAGCUGAAAGGAACUUGAGCUGCCUUUCUGAAAAUGUGAAUAUGGAGGCAGAUAAAGACUUGGAGAGUGGAAGUCCACCUGAGACGAGAUGUCAAGAUGAUGUAGCUGUCGCUGAAACUGUCAGCAUUUUGGAACCACCCCAGAGUGCCUGUAUUCAAGCCACUAAUGAUACUGAAAAGCACUUUGAAAAGAGUCAGCCCAAGAGUGACUGUCAGCUAAGAAAAGAAUUUGGCAUCAC
ensembl:lncRNA